rnacentral:rRNA from 1 species
CUACGUGCCAGCAGCCGCGGUAAUACGGAAGGUCCAGGCGUUAUCCGGAUUUAUUGGGUUUAAAGGGAGCGUAGGCGGAUUGUUAAGUCAGCGGUUAAAGGGUGUGGCUCAACCAUGCAUUGCCGUUGAAACUGGCGAUCUUGAGUGUAGACAGGGAUGCCGGAAUUCGUGGUGUAGCGGUGAAAUGCUUAGAUAUCACGAAGAACUCCGAUCGCGAAGGCAGGUGUCCGGGCUGCAACUGACGCUGAGGCUCGAAAGUGUGGGUAUCAAACAGGAUUAGAUACCCUGGUAGUCCACACAGUAAACGAUGUAUACUCGCGGUUUGCGAUAGACAGUAAGCCGCCAAGCGAAAGCAUUAAGUAUACCACCUGGGGAGUACGCCGGCAACGGUGAAACUCAAAGGAAUUGACGGGGGCCCGCACAAGCGGAGGAACAUGUGGUUUAAUUCGAUGAUACGCGAGGAACCUUACCCGGGCUUGA